UACAGAGGGUGCAAGCGUUAAUCGGAAUUACUGGGCGUAAAGGGUGUGUAGGUGGUAAAGUAAGUUAGGUGUGAAAUCCUCGGGCUUAACCUGAGAAUUGCGCUUAAGACUAUUUUGCUAGAGUUCUGUAGAGGAUAGUGGAAUUUCCAGUGUAGCGGUGAAAUGCGUAGAUAUUGGAAGGAACACCAGUGGCGAAGGCGACUAUCUGGACAGAUACUGACACUGAGACACGAAAGCGUGGGUAGCAAACAGGAUUAGAUACCCUGGUAGU
rnacentral:rRNA from 1 species